UUGAAGAAAAUAUAUUUCAGGUGACGUUUUGUCGAUGAAAAAAGAAGAAGCCAAAAACGACACAGGAAAACAAAUAAUAGGUAGUAGCAUUUGCUUGCUACGAUCAAGGCCAAAUCUAGUCGUUCCUUCAUCAUCUUCUUUUCUUCGAUGGUGCCCUUCUCACCAACGCCCACAGCAAAUAAACGUGCCGAGUCUUUUUUUAGCACGUGAUCUCUCUCUCUCUACACAAUAACAUUUGCCCUCUUUGAUAGUAAUUAUAUUAUAACAACUAUGUGAUGGAAUUACCAGCACUUUUCCCCCCAAUUUGAGCAGGAAAAUACCAAGAUUUUCCAAUCAAAAACCGUAAUUCGUGGUUCACUGAAUCAGUCGAAUACUGUGCUGCACUAAAGUCCUGCUUUCAGAUCACAACUCAUCUUCGGUACAGUUCGGGUGUUUAUUUUUUAUGGAGACUUUAAUCGAUAGCUUGUUUCGAAUCAAUCGAUAAGGUAUGCUCUACUAAAAUCCCUUUCGUUUCCUUGUCAUUGAUGUGAUGCAGUGGUGUGCUGUUUGGAUCUCCUUCUUUGCUCUUUUCACUCCUUGAAACAUACCCGAUCUCAUGAUUCUUAUCUCCAGAUCUCCCAUUUAAUUCGAGAAGAAAACCAAACAUAAAACAUACUCAUUAGCCGAUGCUCUUAACCAAAUUAAAGUGAAAUAUUAAGAACACAGAGCUACCAUCUUAAACUUUAUCUGAUUAAUCAAUUGGAGUUCUUAGAAAUUUAAAUCAUUGGAGUAUACGUGCCAUGCCAUCAUUUGUAAGUGAAAGUGAUUGUUGAUUGAUACAGGAUUUGCAUUAUUGAAGGCAUCGUUUUUUCUUCUUCUUUUUUAUAAAAAAAAACAAAAUACUUGAGGUAUGUGCUUGAAAGAGAGGCGCACAUGGAUUGUCAAUAAUACUGUCAUAGCAGCUAGCUGCACUUGGGAUAUGGAAGAGAAAUGGGUUUGAACUACUGAACUCAUAUUUGUCUGGAAGGAGACUGCUCGCAAGAGAUGGAUCCAGUGGGCGGAGGGCCCAUGGCCCUCAAAGUAUCAAAACACUUCCCUCGGUCCCUUUCUUCUAAACUUUCUCAAUUCAAUCCUCACAAUUAAAGCGUUUCUUUUCCGUUUCUGCUUUGAUGAUUAUUUUUCAUCAACUUACUUCACUUGGAUAUAACUUUCCUCUGCUUUAAUUAAAAUGUUUUUUUAUAUUAAUCCCCAAAAAAGAAAAA